rnacentral:rRNA from 1 species
GGUCUGUAGCAAUACAGAUGCUGGCGACCGGCAAACGGGUGCGGAACACGUACACAACCUUCCUUUAAGUGGGGGAUAGCCCGGGGAAACCCGGAUUAAUACCCCGUAACAUUAUAGAGUGGCAUCACUUUAUAACUAAAGCUCCGGCGCUUAAUGAUGGGUGUGCGGCUGAUUAGGUAGUUGGUGAGGUAACGGCUCACCAAGCCUGCGAUCAGUAACUGGUGUGAGAGCACGACCAGUCACACGGGCACUGAGACACGGGCCCGACUCCUACGGGAGGCAGCAGUAAGGAAUAUUGGUCAAUGGACGCAAGUCUGAACCAGCCAUGCCGCGUGGAGGAUGAAGGUCCUCUGGAUUGUAAACUUCUUUUAUUUGGGACGAAAAAGGGUCUUUCUAGAUCAACUGACGGUACCAGAUGAAUAAGCACCGGCUAACUCCGUGCCAGCAGCCGCGGUAAUACGGAGGGUGCAAGCGUUAUCCGGAUUCACUGGGUUUAAAGGGUGCGUAGGUGGGUCUGUAAGUCCGUGGUGAAAUCUCCGAGCUUAACUUGGAAACUGCCAUGGAUACUAUAGGUCUUGAAUACUGUGGAGGUCAGCGGAAUAUGUCAUGUAGCGGUGAAAUGCUUAGAUAUGACAUAGAACACCAAUUGCGAAGGCAGCUGGCUACACAAAUAUUGACACUGAUGCACGAAAGCGUGGGGAUCAAACAGGAUUAGAUACCCUGGUAGUCCACGCCCUAAACGAUGGAUACUCGACAUUUGCGAUACACAGCAAGUGUCUGAGCGAAAGCAUUAAGUAUCCCACCUGGGAAGUACGAUCGCAAGAUUG